rnacentral:rRNA from 1 species
CCUACGGGAGGCAGCAGUGGGGAAUAUUGGGCAAUGGGCGCAAGCCUGACCCAGCAACGCCGCGUGAAUGAAGAAGGCUUUCGGGUUGUAAGCUUCUUUUCUGAGGGACGAAGAAAGUGACGGUACUACAGGAAUCAGCCACGGCUAACUACGUGCCAGCAGCCGCGGUAAUACGUAGGUGGCAAGCGUUAUCCGGAUUUAGUGGGUGUAAAGGGCGUGUAGGCGGGAAAGCAAGUCAGAUGUGAAAACUCAGGGCUCAACCCUGAGACUGCAUUUGAAACUGUUUUGCUUGAGUGCUGGAGAGGCAAUCGGAAUUCCGUGUGUAGCGGUGAAAUGCGUAGAGAUACGGAGGAACACCAGUGGCGAAGGCGGAUUGCUGGACAAUAACUGACGCUGAGGCGCGAAAGCGUGGGGAGCAAACAGGAUUAGAUACCCCUGUAGUC